AUACUUACCUGGCAGGAGAGAUACCAUGAUGGCAAAGGUGGUUUUCCCAAGGCGAGGCUUGUCCAUUGCACUCUGGAUGUGCUGACCCCUGUGAUUUUCCCAAAUGUGGGAAACUCGACUGCAGAAUUUGUGGUAGUGGGGGACUACAUUCACGCUUUCUCCUA
rnacentral:snRNA from 1 species